rnacentral:rRNA from 1 species
UCUACGGGGGGCUGCAGUGGGGAAUAUUGGACAAUGGGGGCAACCCUGAUCCAGCCAUGCCGCGUGUGUGAAGAAGGCCCUCGGGUUGUAAAGCACUUUCAGUGAGGAAGAACGCCUGGUGGUUAAUACCCAUCAGGAAAGACAUCACUCACAGAAGAAGCACCGGCUAACUCCGUGCCAGCAGCCGCGGUAAUACGGAGGGUGCGAGCGUUAAUCGGAAUUACUGGGCGUAAAGCGCGCGUAGGUGGCUUGAUAAGCCGGUUGUGAAAGCCCCGGGCUCAACCUGGGAACGGCAUCCGGAACUGUCAAGCUAGAGUGCAGGAGAGGAAGGUAGAAUUCCCGGUGUAGCGGUGAAAUGCGUAGAGAUCGGGAGGAAUACCAGUGGCGAAGGCGGCCUUCUGGACUGACACUGACACUGAGGUGCGAAAGCGUGGGUAGCAAACAGGAUUAGAUACCCCAGUAGUC